AUAAUGAAAAUACUAACAUUCUGAGUUUGUCUUCUCCAAAACUACACAGUGCCCCUUAAAGUAGGCCCCGGAUUUUGACCUAUGGUGGAAUGUAUUGGGGCCUGUGCUAAUUUGUAUUAAUAAGGAGACACUUGCUUUGGUCUAUUAAAUAGUGACUUUUUUUUUCUUCCUGAAAAUACAGCGGAUGGCAGUUUCCCUUUUGCCUUCACUGGCAUUGGUCAAAGUUAUUCUUAUUAAGAUAGAUUAUAUAGCCCAAAAACAACGUGCAUUAGCGGUCUCUUGGAAGUUUCCUCUGUGUUGUGAAACCUAUAAUCAGUCCGGAUCUCGCCUUUUGACCCUUCUUUCCUCCACGCUCUGCCCCCCAAUGAGCCGCAGCGGCGCGGGGAUAAACCCAGCAGCGUCUCGCGGUGCUUGACCGGCGGAUCGUCAGCACCUGCAGGCCGGCGACGGAGCGCAGCAGGCGGCUUCCUGAGCAGACUGCACAGGAACAUGGAAGUGUUAAAUUCACCGGUUCCAUACGGCAGAGCCAGGUGCAGAUUUCAACAUUUGAACUGUAGUACAGUCGAAUGUUUGGACAGCCUCCGACUGCCAGUGACGGCAGGCGCAGCGGACACCUCGACCCAAAUCCGGUUGGAGAAACCUGAACAAUGCUAUCAGUGGGGACUUCAUGUGCCGCACCAGACUCCAUCCAGAGGAGUUCAACACGUACAGCCCAAAGCUGACAACAACUAGACAAAGUGAGCAAAGCAUGUGAACAGCUCUCACUGAUUAGAGGAUACAGGCCUGAACAGCGACUUCACCCCUUUUCUCAUUCAUUGACUGAUGGACACAGAACAGCGUGGACAGUCCCAUCUCUCUUUAUAGCUUGUUUUUUUCCCGAACCAGAUCACUGUUUGUUUGUUAUUUUUAUUGAAAAUGUGAUGUGUUAAAAAUUGCUAUUCAUUAUGGCCAGUGAUUAUGGCCACUGUGGAAAUGUAUGUGGUGUAAAAACCUGUUGUAAUUAUUGAAAAGCUUUAGUAUUUCAGCUUUGGAUUCAGUGAUCGAGGAGAAGUCUAUUGUCGCGGAUUUUAAUGUUAAUUAAAUUACAUUUUCAGACGAACACUUGUAGUCCACAAAAGUGCGUGCGCGCCCGGUGGCCCUGCUCAUGUGGAGUGAUAUUAACUGCGACAUGUUAUUUCGUUGUUUAAUGUAGUUAAAAUAAAUGUGCUCGCAUUUGAGCCCUCGGAGUUUUGCUGAAGUCAUAUUUUCCGUCCUAACAUAUAAACCGAAACAGUGAAACGUGAAAGUCCACUGUGGAUUUUAGGGAUUUGGUUUACUUUUAGGAGUUAAAAUGCUGGAAGUGUACGCAGGAAACGAGUAUCCACUCUUAUCACGCAUUAUUCUCUGCUUCAUGUCCGUGAACCAGUGCUCUUGUCCCUCGCUGGCACACAGUAGUAACUGACAGGCUGCUUCACAAAGACGACCAAGGCCACCAGAAGGCAACCCUGUGGGCCCUCGGUGCCAUUCGGCGUGCGCUUUUACGCACUUAGUCGAGCGAAUAAACGUACUUGUUUGAUUAAAAGCAUUUUAAAAAUGUG